UAUUAAAAACAUGGCCUGUUGAUUAAAAUUUUAGGUCUGACCUGCCCAAUGACAGUUGUUUAAUGGCCGCAGUAUUUUUGACUGUGCAAAGGUAGCAUAAUCACUAGUUUUUUAAAUGAAAGCUUGAAUGAAAGGUUGAAUGAAAAAAUUACUGUCUCUAGAAAAGUUUAGUAGAAUUUUAUUAUUAAGUGAAAAAGCUUAAAUGUUUGUAGAAGACAAGAAGACCCUAUAGAGUUUUAUAUUUGCGUUAGAAGUAUGUCUUUUGGAUUAUAAAGGUAUUUUCUGGGUAAGUAUUUAGUUGGGGUGACUAAAAAAUUUAAAAAACUUUUAUUUUAUAAAUACAUUUAUUUAUGGAUUUAUGAUCCUAGGUUUUAGAUUAAAAGAUUAAAUUACCUUAGGGAUAACAGCGUGAUUUUCUUUAGAGUUCUUAUCGAAAAGAAAGAUUGCGACCUCGAUGUUGGAUUAAAAUUUAUUGUUGGUGUAGAAGCUAACAAAUUGGGUCUGUUCGACCUUUGAAAUUUUACAUGAUCUGAGUUUAAACCGGUGUGAGCCAGGUCGGUU
rnacentral:rRNA from 1 species